rnacentral:tRNA from 1 species
GCCCUGGUAGCACAGUAGCAGUGCGUCUGCCUCGUAAGCAGAAGGUCGGGGGUGCAACUCCCCUCCGGGGCU